GAUGAACGCUGGAGGCGUGCCUAAUACAUGCAAGUCGAGCGAACGGACGAGAAGCUUGCUUCUCUGAUGUUAGCGGCGGACGGGUGAGUAACACGUGGAUAACCUACCUAUAAGACUGGGAUAACUUCGGGAAACCGGAGCUAAUACCGGAUAAUAUUUUGAACCGCAUGGUUCAAAAGUGAAAGACGGUCUUGCUGUCACUUAUAGAUGGAUCCGCGCGGCAUUAGCUAGUUGGUAAGGUAACGGCUUACCAAGGCAACGAUGCAUAGCCGACCUGAGAGGAUGAUCGGCCACACUGGAACUGAGACACGGUCCAGACUCCUACGGGAGGCAGCAGUAGGGAAUCUUCCGCAAUGGGCGCAAGCCUGACGGAGCAACGCCGCGUGAGUGAUGAAGGUCUUCGGAUCGUAAAACUCUGUUAUUAGGGAAGAACAUAUGUGUAAGUAACUGUGCACAUCUUGACGGUACCUAAUCAGAAAGCCACGGCUAACUACGUG
rnacentral:rRNA from 1 species